rnacentral:rRNA from 1 species
AAAAACAUGGCUUAAUGUUACUAUAUUAAGUUAUUUCUGCUCAAUGAAAUAUUAAAUAGCCGCAGUACUCUGACUGUGCAAAGGUAGCAUAAUCAUUUGGCUUAUAAUUGAAGUCUGGCAUGAAUGAAAUAAUGGGGAGUUACUGUCUUUUUGGGUUUUCAAGAACUUACUUAACAAGUGAAAAUACUUGUAAAUAAAUAAUAGACGAGAAGACCCUAGAAAUUUUUUUAAUAUUGGUUUUAUAUCUAAUUAAUUUUGCUGGGGCGGCAGAAUAACAUUAAACUUAUUUUAAUAAAUUUGAACUAUCUACUGAGUAAAAGUAAAUUACUCUAGGGAUAACAGCAUAAUUUUACAAAGUUUGUGACCUCGAUG